rnacentral:rRNA from 1 species
AUUGAACGCUGGCGGCAGGCUUAACACAUGCAAGUCGAGCGGAGAUGAGGUGCUUGCACCUUAUCUUAGCGGCGGACGGGUGAGUAAUGCUUAGGAAUCUGCCUAUUAGUGGGGGACAACAUUCCGAAAGGAAUGCUAAUACCGCAUACGUCCUACGGGAGAAAGCAGGGGAUCUUCGGACCUUGCGCUAAUAGAUGAGCCUAAGUCGGGUUAGCUAGUUGGUGGGGUAACGGCCUACCAAGGCGACGAUCUGUAGCGGGUCUGAGAGGAUGGUCCGCCACGCUGGGACUGAGACACUGCCCAGACGCCUACGUGAGGCAGCAGUGGGGAAUAUUGGACAAUGGGGGAAACCCUGAUCCAGCCAUGCCGCGUGUGUGAAGAAGGCCUUAUGGGUGUAAAGCACUUUAAGCGAAGAGGAGGCUACUGAGACUAAUACUCUUGGAUAGUGGACGUUACUCGCAGAAUAAGCACCGGCUAACUCUGUGCCAGCCGCCGCCGUAA